rnacentral:rRNA from 1 species
UACGAAGGGGGCUAGCGUUGCUCGGAAUUACUGGGCGUAAAGAGCGCGCAGGCGGUCGUUCAAGUCGCGUGUGAAAGCCCCCGGCUCAACUGGGGAGGGUCACGCGAUACUGAUCGACUCGAAGGCAGGAGAGGGUAGUGGAAUUCCCGGUGUAGUGGUGAAAUGCGUGGAUAUCGGGAGGAACACCAGUGGCGAAGGCGACUACCUGGCCUGUUCUUGACGCUGAGGCGCGAAAGCUAGGGGAGCAAACGGG